AUUGAACGCUGGCGGCAUGCUUUACACAUGCAAGUCGAACGGCAGCGCGGGCUUCGGCCUGGCGGCGAGUGGCGAACGGGUGAGUAAUACAUCGGAACGUGCCCAGUAGUGGGGGAUAGCUCGGCGAAAGCCGGAUUAAUACCGCAUACGACCUGAGGGUGAAAGCGGGGGAUCUUCGGACCUCGCGCUAUUGGAGCGGCCGAUGGCAGAUUAGCUAGUUGGUGGGGUAAAGGCCUACCAAGGCGACGAUCUGUAGCUGGUCUGAGAGGACGACCAGCCACACUGGGACUGAGACACGGCCCAGACUCCUGCGGGAGGCAGCAGUGGGGAAUUUUGGACAAUGGGCGAAAGCCUGAUCCAGCAAUGCCGCGUGUGUGAUGAAGGCCUUCGGGUUGUAAAGCACUUUUGGCGGGAACGAAAAGGACUGUGCCAAUACCACGGUUCGAUGACGGUACCCGAAGAAUAAGCACCGGCUAACUACGUG
rnacentral:rRNA from 1 species